UAACCAAACUAACCAGAUCAAC
rnacentral:siRNA from 1 species